GAAUUCGCCCUUAGAGUUUGAUCCUGGCUCAGGACGAACGCUGGCGGCGCGCCUAACACAUGCAAGUCGAACGAGCGAGAGAGAGCUUGCUUUCUCGAGCGAGUGGCGAACGGGUGAGUAACGCGUGAGGAACCUGCCUCAAAGAGGGGGACAACAGUUGGAAACGACUGCUAAUACCGCAUAAGCCCACGGCUCGGCAUCGAGCAGAGGGAAAAGGAGCAAUCCGCUUUGAGAUGGCCUCGCGUCCGAUUAGCUAGUUGGUGAGGUAACGGCCCACCAAGGCGACGAUCGGUAACCGGACUGAGAGGUUGAACGGCCACAUUGGGACUGAGACACGGCCCAGACUCCUACGGGAGGCAGCAGUGGGGAAUAUUGCACAAUGGGGGAAACCCUGAUGCAGCGACGCCGCGUGGAGGAAGAAGGUCUUCGGAUUGUAAACUCCUGUUGUUGAGGAAGAUAAUGACGGUACUCAACAAGGAAGUGACGGCUAACUACGUGCCAGCAGCCGCGGUAAAACGUAGGUCACAAGCGUUGUCCGGAAUUACUGGGUGUAAAGGGAGCGCAGGCGGGAGAACAAGUUGGAAGUGAAAUCCAUGGGCUCAACCCAUGAACUGCUUUCAAAACUGUUUUUCUUGAGUAGUGCAGAGGUAGGCGGAAUUCCCGGUGUAGCGGUGGAAUGCGUAGAUAUCGGGAGGAACACCAGUGGCGAAGGCGGCCUACUGGGCACCAACUGACGCUGAGGCUCGAAAGUGUGGGUAGCAAACAGGAUUAGAUACCCUGGUAGUCCACACCGUAAACGAUGAUUACUAGGUGUUGGAGGAUUGACCCCUUCAGUGCCGCAGUUAACACAAUAAGUAAUCCACCUGGGGAGUACGACCGCAAGGUUGAAACUCAAAGGAAUUGACGGGGGCCCGCACAAGCAGUGGAGUAUGUGGUUUAAUUCGACGCAACGCGAAGAACCUUACCAAGUCUUGACAUCCCUUGACGAUGCUGGAAACAGUAUUUCUCUUCGGAGCAAGGAGACAGGUGGUGCAUGGUUGUCGUCAGCUCGUGUCGUGAGAUGUUGGGUUAAGUCCCGCAACGAGCGCAACCCUUAUGGUCAGUUACUACGCAAGAGGACUCUGGCCAGACUGCCGUUGACAAAACGGAGGAAGGUGGGGAUGACGUCAAAUCAUCAUGCCCUUUAUGACUUGGGCUACACACGUACUACAAUGGCGUUAAACAAAGAGAAGCAAGACCGCGAGGUGGAGCAAAACUCAGAAACAACGUCCCAGUUCGGACUGCAGGCUGCAACUCGCCUGCACGAAGUCGGAAUUGCUAGUAAUCGUGGAUCAGCAUGCCACGGUGAAAACGUUCCCGGGCCUUGCACACACCGCCCGUCA
rnacentral:rRNA from 1 species